rnacentral:rRNA from 1 species
ACGGGAGGCAGCAGUGGGGAAUCUUGCGCAAUGGGCGAAAGCCUGACGCAGCAACGCCGCGUGCGGGAUGAAGGCCCUCGGGUUGUAAACCGCUUUCAGUGGGGACGAACCAAGACGGUACCCACAGAAGAAGGUCCGGCCAACUACGUGCCAGCAGCCGCGGUAACACGUAGGGACCAAGCGUUGUCCGGAUUCAUUGGGCGUAAAGAGCUCGUAGGCGGCUCAGUAAGUCGGGUGUGAAACCUCCAGGCUCAACCUGGAGACGCCACCCGAUACUGCUGUGGCUAGAGUCCAGUAGGGGAGCGUGGAAUUCCUGGUGUAGCGGUGAAAUGCGCAGAUAUCAGGAGGAACACCAGCGGCGAAGGCGGCGCUCUGGGCUGGAACUGACGCUGAGGAGCGAAAGCGUGGGGAGCGAACAGGAUUAGAUACCCUGGUA